rnacentral:rRNA from 1 species
CCCUUAGAUGUUCUGGGCGGCCCGCGCACUACAUUGGCACUCUCAAUAAGUUCCUAGAUCUAAAACUUUGGGGUAUUCUAUUAAGUGGUGUCGUGACUGGGAUUAACCCUUGCAAUUAUUGGUUACGAACGAGGAAUUCCUUGUAAUCGCGGUUUAUCAGCCCGCGUUGAAUGCGUCCCUGCCCUUUGUACACACCGCCCGUCGCACCUACCGAUUGAAUGACUCGGUGAAAAAUUGGGACCGUGAGUCUGUUUGCUUCAUUGCGAGUGGAUUGAUGGGAACUUUUUUAAACCUCGCCAUUUAGAGGAAGGUGAAGUCGUAACA